UACGGGGGGAGCAAGCGUUGUUCGGAUUUACUGGGCGUAAAGGGCGCGUAGGCGGUCAGCACAAGUCAGUUGUGAAAUCUCCGGGCUUAACUCGGAAAGGUCAACUGAUACUGUGCGACUAGAGUGCAGAAGGGGCAACUGGAAUUCUCGGUGUAGCGGUGAAAUGCGUAGAUAUCGAGAGGAACACCUGCGGCGAAGGCGGCAUCCUGGACCGGUAUUGACGCUGAGGCGCGAAAGCCAGGGGAGCAAACGGG
rnacentral:rRNA from 1 species